UACGAAGGGUGCAAGCGUUAAUCGGAAUUACUGGGCGUAAAGCGUGCGUAGGCGGUUUCUUAAGUCUGCUGUGAAAGCCCCGGGCUCAACCUGGGAAUGGCGGUGGAUACUGAGGAGCUGGAGUACGGUAGAGGAAGGUGGAAUUCCCGGUGUAGCGGUGAAAUGCGUAGAUAUCGGAAGGAACAUCAGUGGCGAAAGCGGCUUCCUGGACCAGUACCGACGUCAGGCACGAAAGCGUGGGGAGCAAACAGG
rnacentral:rRNA from 1 species